AUACACCUAAACUGUUUUGCAGGCGCUGCGUGGGCUGCCUUUGGAAUUAGAUGAGCAUUUGAGUUUUCUGUCUUUUGGUACCUUAGGUGCUACAAGCGAUGACGUCCGCAGCGUCCAACGCAGCGAUCGCUGUGGAGCAGAAAUUCAUAGGUACCUUUGAAGUGUAAGAAGAUAAGUGACGAUGGUGACCGGAGACCUUCUGCCUGUGACCACCAAUCUCAGAAGAGCCGAGACAUGAGAAUGGAGAAUGGAUGAGAUAAGAUGAUGAAUGAUAACGAUAUGAGAACAGAAAAUUGGCUGGAAAAUUACAGAGGCUUCAGCUGGAAAAUUACAGAGACUUUGGAUUGGGACAAUGGGUGGCAAAAGGGUAUAUAAGGUUUGGAAACUUUUGGAAGUGGGCCAUUCGCUGCGGUGGUGGCCCAACUCUGAGUUGUUAAUAAAGCAAACCUAGAGAAA